CCUCGGUGAAGCACGGAACGGUUUCUAACAAUCAAGCGCUUCGUGUAAAUUAAUUAGCGAGCCGAUCCAUCAUUAUAACCGCCUUGUUUUCCUUAUUGAAUAAUGUCACAUGCUUCCAGUCUUAACAUCAAUUACUUUCCGUAGAAGGAAUCCGAACUGGCUGUCGCCGUUGUAAGGGGUUUAUCCGAAAAGUGAAGUACAUUAGAAAUGAAAAAAGGAAAGAAACAGAUAAUUUUUCACAGGUGGCGACACUGCCACUUCAUUCCUCUGAGUGCGAACUUGAGGUUCACAGUCAAACUUUACAUAAAAUUAGUAGAGUCAUUCAAAACUUCAUGACGUAAUAGGAAAUUUGUUUAUUUAACGGUAACUCAUAUCUAGACAGUGCGUGUAGCACACAAGAACCCUUGCAGUCCUCCGGGGUUUAAUUACGCUUCAGUCACUCCAUCUUUUCAAGUUCUAAGGCAUACGCAGGUGAGAAGGCGAAUCAGGGAGCUGACGAAACACUUCUACAGAAAUUGAAAGUAAACAAAUUCACGAAACGUGUGGAUGGAAGAGAGCAAUAGCUAAGGUGAGUUUCGUAGCUGAUGCCGAUAGCUGUGUGAGCUGUGUGUGCACACGGCGCUCCUGUCCCUUCUGAUGUGAUAGUCGCGCAGGGGUACGAGGAGACGCUUCAGUCCGCGCUGAAUGCAAUCGGAGGUGGCUUCUCCAUGAGGCUAUUCACCGCUGCUGCUUGGCAUGUCUUCUGGUUCUUCACACGACCACAGAUGCUGCAAUCACCACAAGCCAGUCGACCAUCUCUCCACAAUUUAGAAAUAUGCAAGGCAUUUCACCUAAUAUUUUAAUAUCCCAUAAUUUAACCUAAUUUCUGCAACAACAUCACUGUGAGACUACUCCAAUUAAAUAAUAAAACGCCGUAAAAAUUAAGAGAUAUAUAGCAAUGCAGUGUGUGUAAAUGUGAUGUUAUGACAUCGCUGGUUUGCAGAAAGUCCAAAACAUAUCAGUCGAAGAUACAAGUCUUCGUGUACAUACCUUGAAUAAUAACUGCUACAUACUUGUUUUGAGCUGCUUUCAGGCAAUACGUCCUCCUAUCUAGUUCAGUAUUCACAUAUGUUGAUAACAAAUCAAUUUCAAUCUUUAAUUUGGUAAUAUGAAAGGCACUCCACCUUCUACUGCAAUUUACUAUAAUCUAUACUGAUUUGCACAAUCAAAAAAUACACUAUUCAUCCUCAUUGAUACAUGUGAAGACAAGUAUGACAUUCGAUCGAACUUGUGAUGAAGGGAAAAAAAGAGAGAGAUAAAUAAAACAUUUACCAAAAAAAUAUUUGGUAUUUCGGCUCUCUAUCGACAUCAUGGCAGUCUAGUUACAGCUUUGUUUUCUAUACAGAAAAAAACCUUGGAUUAAAUACAAAGUGUUCUACCUAGUGUACCUAGAACUCAGUAAUGUUCUGUCAAUAUAGCCUGAAGCGGAGCUAGCCAAGUGUUACUAAUGUAUAUCCUGCAUACAGUGGAGGAGGAGUGGUAGACCGCACAGAAAAGGUUUGAGACACUUACACCAUUCACAUAUUGUUUUGACUGUGGGUAGUGACGUCAGGAGCUGCUGCAGUGCCGACAGUGGAAGCGGCAUACUCGCCUUCUCCAACCCACCAAGUCCGCAAUCGCUGAGCAUUGCAUUUCUACUGGCCAUUCUAUGAAUUACAAUGAUACAAAAAUUGUGGCUCAAACAUCAGUUAUAAAUGAAUCCAUAGAAAUAAAAUUGUCAGACAGCGAGACUCUUAUCAAUCUAGAUAGCGGUUACCAGUUAAAUUCCGCUUGGAAUCCCAUUGUAGAGAAACUUCGUAGUCAACGUAGUUAUCGGUAUAAAGAUGAAGAUCGAUCUGAUAUCGAAAUGCCAAGUUUUCACUGUGGAGGGCGCAAGGC